rnacentral:rRNA from 1 species
UACGUAGGGGGCUAGCGUUGUCCGGAUUUAUUGGGCGUAAAGAGCGUGUAGGCGGCCAGGUAGGUCUGCUGUGAAAACUCGAGGCUCAACCUCGAGACGUCGGCGGAAACCAUCUGGCUAGAGUCCGGAAGAGGAGAGUGGAAUUCCUGGUGUAGCGGUGAAAUGCGCAGAUAUCAGGAAGAACACCAGUGGCGAAGGCGACUUCCUGGCCUGUUCUUGACGCUGAGGCGCGAAAGCUAGGGGAGCGAAACGGG